AGUUAAAGCUUCCUCGAACCAGCAAGAUGAGUUGUACAACACAGCGCCCAUGCCAAGGUCAGCAGUCUGAAUGGAGCUGAGACACUUUUACUGGCCGUGCCAAGCAGUGCCAAGCACCUCUGGAAGCCCCUGCCUAGGACCCCAAAUUUAGAUUCACGCUGCAGUCUGGAGAGUGUUUUGACGGCUGCCGGGCUACAGGGAAAAGCGCACUGCACACUGCCUCUGAGAUGAGGCAGAGCUCUCCAGGCUGGGAGUCUGAGGAAGCCGGACCUGGGCAGCGCUGCUCAGCUUUGGGUCAUUUUACUAACAGAUAGGAUUUCUAGAGAUUCACUUGUCAGUUCUUUGAGGGAAAAGAGAAGCCCCGUUCACCAUUGGUCAUGAGGUUCCAGGAGCAUCACUUCCUUCAUCCAGCACCCUACCUCUGUGACAUGUGAAGAAACCAACCCAUUUUCCAAUGGCAACACUGAGUUCAUGCACAUGCACACUAUAGUCUUCAGUGUCUGUGCUUCGCCUAUCAGUUGGAUCUGUUUUCUUUUACAGUUCUGGGUACUUUUCAAGACUCUAUUGACCAAAUCUGUAAAGAGUGUUGAUAAUCCAAUUCAUAAACUGGCUUUCUGAGCUAUUGUGAUGUCUUUUCCUCUCUUUGUGACCGAGAAUGUCACAAAGAGACAUUCUCUUGCCUUUGAAGAUCCAUGAUGUUUUAAAAUCAUGAGACCCAAGGCAGAAGUGUCCAGGAACCAAGCCAAACUGUGACAUUUUAAAGCCACGACUUGACUAGAGGGAAUGAAGAAGAGGUGAAGAUCCUUCUGUGCUAACCUAUGAGUGCAUUUGGACCAUGAGAAUAAUGUGUCAUUGGGCAAGACAACGAGUGGCUGCUUGUUGAUGCCUCCUGGAUUGUUAUUUGGUGAGCUCUGCAAUAUGCACUCUGCUCACACACAGGGUCACAGAAGGCAUGGGGGUCUUGAGUGUCCUCUUCCUAGGGGCAUCAGUGAGCUAACACUAUGUGCAAAUGAGCCCCUCUGCUUCUGCUGGAACCAUCAUUCAACGGACAGAAAGGAUCUCUGUGUUGGACUCGACUCUGAUGCAUCUUGUCUUCAGGGAUGGAAAGUGUUCCCGCGGGAAGACCGAAGCUAAAGGAAUCGCAGUAUUUCUUCAGAGUCUGGAUUAUUCUGAACUACAUGGAAAUACGUUCAAGCCCAAGAUGAGUGGCUCAAAGCAUGGCUGUGAGUGAGUCAGCUGAAGACAGAUUUGGAUCAUAUUUUAUUUAACCAGGAGGAAUAAAAUCCAGCAUAGUAGAUUUUAAGUUCUUGGGAAAUAUGUCCUGUCAAUGCCGUUAUUGAGAAGAAGGACAGAGAACACACUCUUCCAGACAAGGAAGAGAAGGAGAUGUGGCCCUGGCUUUGUGAGCUGUGGCAGGGAGGGAACCAGCAUGGGAGUGAAGGUCUCUGGAAGCUUCCAGACAAACAAGUGUGGAAAUCAUUUGUCAGAUCCCUGAGAGUGGGUACUGCAGAAGACUUCCUAUGUUUUUUUUUUUGGUGUGGAUAAAUACACAUAACUAUUUAUUACUGCGACACAAGCAGGCUACAAUAUGCUUUAUACAUUUCUUUGGUUUUAACAAUUGCAGUAGGAACUUUGCUCUUGCCCGAAUCCUAAGAGGCGUGUUGUUGUCAUUGUUGUUUAUUUGUUUUUGCUUUUCUUUUCAAAUAGAGACAAAUAAGGGUGAGAAGGAAG